rnacentral:rRNA from 1 species
UACGAGGGGUGCAAGCGUUGCUCGGAAUUAUUGGGCGUAAAGGGUAGGUAGGUGGUCUCAUUUGUCUGGGGUGAAAGCCUUGAGCUUAACUCAAGAAGUGCCUCAGAAACGGUGAGACUAGAGUCCUGGAGAGGGUCGUGGAAUUCCCGGUGUAGCGGUGAAAUGCGUAGAGAUCGGGAGGAACACCAGAGGCGAAGGCGGCGACCUGGACAGGUACUGACACUCAACUACGAAAGCGUGGGGAGCAAACAGG